GAUCAUGGGCUCAGAUUGAACGCUGGCGGCAUGCCUUACACAUGCAAGUCGAACGGUAACAGGUCUUCGGACGCUGACGAGUGGCGAACGGGUGAGUAAUACAUCGGAACGUGCCCAGUCGUGGGGGAUAACUACUCGAAAGAGUAGCUAAUACCGCAUACGAUCUGAGGAUGAAAGCGGGGGACCUUCGGGCCUCGCGCGAUUGGAGCGGCCGAUGGCAGAUUAGGUAGUUGGUGGGA
rnacentral:rRNA from 1 species